AUUGAACGCUGGCGGCAGGCCUAACACAUGCAAGUCGAACGGUAACAGGAAGAAGCUUGCUUCUUUGCUGACGAGUGGCGGACGGGUGAGUAAUGUCUGGGAAACUGCCUGAUGGAGGGGGAUAACUACUGGAAACGGUAGCUAAUACCGCAUAACGUCGCAAGACCAAAGAGGGGGACCUUCGGGCCUCUUGCCAUCAGAUGUGCCCAGAUGGGAUUAGCUAGUAGGUGGGGUAACGGCUCACCUAGGCGACGAUCCCUAGCUGGUCUGAGAGGAUGACCAGCCACACUGGAACUGAGACACGGUCCAGACUCCUACGGGAGGCAGCAGUGGGGAAUAUUGCACAAUGGGCGCAAGCCUGAUGCAGCCAUGCCGCGUGUAUGAAGAAGGCCUUCGGGUUGUAAAGUACUUUCAGCGGGGAGGAAGGGAGUAAAGUUAAUACCUUUGCUCAUUGACGUUACCCGCAGAAGAAGCACCGGCUAACUCCGUG
rnacentral:rRNA from 1 species